UUAGGGUUCGAUUCCGGAGAGGGAGCCUGAGAAACGGCUACCACAUCUAGGAAGGCAGCAGGCGCGCAAAUUACCCAAUGAAAACAGCUUCGAGGUAGUGACGAGAAAUAACAAUACAGGGCAUUUUUUGUUCUGUAAUUGGAAUGAUGGGAAUGUAAAACCCUUUCAGAGUAACAAUUGGAGGGCAAGUCUGGUGCCAGCAGCCGCGGUAAUUCCAGCUCCAAUAGUGUAUAUGAGAGUUGUUGCAGUUAAAAAGCUCGUAGUUGGAUUUCUGUCGUGGUCUACCGGUUCCGCCCGUAUGGGUGUGCACCUGGUUUGCCCUCGGCUUUCUUCCGAUUGCCUUCAGGCUCUUCAUUGCGUCUGUUGGUUUUUCGGAACUUUUACUUUGAGAAAAAUAGAGUGUUUCAAGCACGCUUGUCGCCCUGAAUACUUCAGCAUGGAAUAAUAAGAUAGGACCUUGGUUCUAUUUUGUUGGUUUCUAGGACUAAGGUAAUGAUUAAUAGGGACAGUUGGGGGCAUUCGUAUUUAACUGUCAGAGGUGAAUUCUAGAUUUUGUUAAAAGACGAACUACUGGCGAAGCAUUUGCCAAGGGAUGUUUUCAUUAAUCAGACGACGUAGGGGUUGAGACGAUGAGAUACGUCGU
rnacentral:rRNA from 1 species